GACUUGAGCGUCUUCUCGUAGAAGAGGUAGGACUCGUAGACCUUGGGAGUCCGCACGAAGCGAUCGAACUGCACGGCAAACGGACAACGCCGAAUGUGAUGCCAAAUUGUUUGAUGAGAAAAUUAAAUUAGAAAAAAACCCCGCAUUUUCAGGUGUCACAUGGAACCCAAUCAACUCCACAAAUUGACAGGUACCCACCUCUGUCAUGUUGUUGACGAGCUCGUUGGCGACGCGGACGUAGUCGGCGCGCCGCCCCGCGGGAACGCCGGCCAUGGCGGUGGUGAGGUCGAGGUCGAGGUACUUGGACUUGAGCCGGACGUAGAAGAGCACGUACUUCCACGACAUGGUCUCCAGCAUCGGGCGCAGCGUGCGCAUCCCCUCCGCCGUCUGCCGGAUGCGCGCGGCGGCCUCCUCCGCGGUCAGCUCCGGCUCGAAGAACCGCUCCCGCACGUACGACUUGGUGCCCCACCGCGGCACGGUCCCCGGCGACGUCGGCGCCGGCACGAACGCCGCCUCCGCGGCCAUCGCGGGCGGGGGCGCCGCGGGACGGCGCGCGUACAGCGCGGCCGUGGCCGCCAGCGCCGUGGACGCGGCCACCGCCAGCCGCCGCGUCGCGGACUGCGGCGGCGGCGCCUGCUGAUGCGGCUGAUUGUCCGAGCCACCCGCGGUGGCGUUGGGAGGCAGGGGCCGGCGGCGGCGCGGCGAGGGGGAUGACGAGGUGGAGGAGCAGAGGAUGAGGUGCUUGGCGAGCGUGGCCAUGGCGGAGCUGAGUGGACUGGUGCAAGUCACGGUGUGAUUAG
rnacentral:lncRNA from 1 species